AAAUUGACUUGGUUUUCAGGAAAGUGUUUUCCUUUUAGUUGUGUUUGUUUUCCGGAAAGUGGUUUUCGGGAAAACACUUUCCAAACUUUCUUGUGUUUGUUUGCCGGUAGGAAAGUUGGUCAAUGGAAAACACUUUCCAGUAAAAGGAAAAUUUGGCUUGGUUUUCAGGAAAGUGUUUUCCUGAAAAAUUUGAGGGGAAAACACUUUCCGGAAGUUGUGAAAAAUUUAGAAAUGUCAUUAUUUGCUGAUUA
rnacentral:lncRNA from 1 species